CUUGGGGUGAGUCGUCUGGUCAGUACUCUGCGGCAUAGUUGGUGCUUGGGGCUGGCGGUAUUUAGUUGUAGUCGCCCGUGUGGACUGGAAUAACCCCCACCGGUCGGGGGGGGGGGGACAGCAAGAUGCUGGUCGGAGAACUCAGGGAGCUCAAGCUCGGGUAGGCCUCGAACAGGUUAUGCCAUGAUAUCUCCGCGUGCGACUGCAGCUUUUGAGUAGUUUGGGCACCGAUUUGAGUCGGUGGCUGCUGCUGGCAUGGAGUUAGCUCCAAUAUUCUAGCCCAGGCGCUAGAGCUCAGACGAGACACGUCUG